GGCGGCCCCUCACCCUUCCGAGCCGGGACGGAAGCCCAGACCGUGCCGCCGCACCCCUCCGGGCCUGUGCCUCUAGAACCGCCUUCCGGAGGCUCGGGUCGGCACUGUGCGUCUGCCUGAGUGACUUCAGGCGCGACGUGGAAACACCUCUGGGGCUCAGUGCAGGGAAAGGUGUCACGAGCAAUGCGGGACCGUGAGUGAAGCAGGCCUUCUUUGUAGUCCUUGUCAAGCAAACACUGGCACAGUGGCUGCUAUGACAGCAACACUAAAGACUGUUUUCCCCAUCUUUUAAACUCAGCCUGCAUCUUUGCACUUUGGGAUGGCUUUGAUUUCUUUUUGGCACGAAAAUGAUCUCAACCCCCACAUCAUACUUCUGCUUACCCAUGCGCAUGCUUACCUCAGAAUUUAGGACUCUGCUGGGUUCCAGAGAAAACCUCCUCCUAGGGGAGCGGAGAACUGCUGUUCUCAUGGGCUGAGAAUUCUCACAGGAUGAGGGGGUCUUUGCUGAGGUGUCUGGAGUUGCUUCUCAGAACUUCGUGCACCACAUCUGAGUUUGAAUGUGAAGAUAGACGUAAAAAGGCGUUUUACAACAUUAGCAUUUAUAGUGUGCGACAGUGGCAUCCAGGCCAGAGGAUCAGGAAGGCCGGAUUCCAUUUCAUUUUCCAGCCUUGCGCCUCCCCUUGCCCCCAGGACACUUCUGCUGGAUUACAACAGGCCAGGCGAAAGGAAUUAGUACUCCACCUCCCAGACGCGCAGUUGCUGGCACAGGAGUUAGAAGAGUGUCAGGUGAAAAAGGAACUCCAUACAGACUGGUCUUACAGCUGCCCUAUUUCACAGAAGUGACAGAUAAUGCUGGGAACCCCCCUCCCCAACACCUUGUAACUAACGGAGUCGCUUUUCUUCCCUGGGAUGCUCUUGGAGUUAAGAAAGAUUUGUUGUAUAACCCUGGCAGCACAUGGCCAUUAGAAAAUACUUAAUUCUGUGACAAUAUGCAAAGGAAAACUGUUGAGAGGUCAGCUAGCUCUGACUGCACGUAUUUUGACUACAAGAGAAGCAGAACGAAGCGAGGCACCUCUACGCUUGAGCCUGGCAUAAUGUGAUUUGGGAAAACGUCAUCGUACUUCAAAAUGCAAAGGGGACAUUGGCUCCUGUCACAAAGCAGCAACAAAACACAUUCUCUCACUGAGUAUCUUUUUCAUUUCAGG
ensembl:lncRNA